rnacentral:rRNA from 1 species
UUUAAUUCGACGCAACGCGCAGAACCUUACCACCUUUUGACAUGCCCGGACCACCUCAGAGAUGAGGCUUUCCCUUCGGGGACUGGGACACAGGUGCUGCAUGGCUGUCGUCAGCUCGUGUCGUGAGAUGUUGGGUUAAGUCCCGCAACGAGCGCAACCCUCGCUGUUAGUUGCCAUCAUUCAGUUGGGCACUCUAACAGUACUGCCGGAGUUAAUCCGGAGGAAGGCGGGGAUGACGUCAAGUCCUCAUGGCCCUUACAAGGUGGGCUACACACGUGCUACAAUGGCGACUACAGAGGGCUGCAACCCAGCGAUGGUGAGCCAAUCCCUAAAAGUCGUCUCAGUUCGGAUUGUUCUCUGCAACUCGAGAGCAUGAAGUUGGAAUCGCUAGUAAUCGCGGAUCAGCAUGCCG